rnacentral:rRNA from 1 species
GACGAACGCUGGCGGCGUGCCUAAUACAUGCAAGUGGGACGCAAGAGAACACACUGUGCUUGCACACCGUGUUUUCUUGAGUCGCGAACGGGUGAGUAACGCGUAGGUAACCUGCCUAUUAGCGGGGGAUAACUAUUGGAAACGAUAGCUAAUACCGCAUAAUAUUAAUUAUUGCAUGAUAAUUGAUUGAAAGAUGCAAGCGCAUCACUAGUAGAUGGACCUGCGUUGUAUUAGCUAGUUGGUAAGGUAAGAGCUUACCAAGGCGACGAUACAUAGCCGACCUGAGAGGGUGAUCGGCCACACUGGGACUGAGACACGGCCCAGACUCCUACGGGAGGCAGCAGUAGGGAAUCUUCGGCAAUGGACGAAAGUCUGACCGAGCAACGCCGCGUGAGUGAAGAAGGUUUUCGGAUCGUAAAGCUCUGUUGUAAGUCAAGAACGUGUGUGAGAGUGGAAAGUCACACAGUGACGGAGCUACCAGAAAG